AAUUUAUUUCCUUGAGUUCUCUCCGAAAGCUCUUCAACAACUAAGAGAAGAACAUGAAUAUAUUAACAGGAUGAAGAGUGAGUCUGGGCUAACUUGGGAUGACUACAAACAGAUGGAGUUCACUCAAUGUGUGAUCAAUGAAACUCUGAGACUUGGUAACAUUGUCAAGUUCUUGCAUAGAAAAGCCAUAAA